UAGAGGCACACGACACAGAAGAAUUUUAGCGGCUACAUUGUGAAAAUUAGAAGUGUUUGAUAAGAAGCAGCACACACGGAGAGAUCAUCCACUGCUCUUCUGCCUCUAAAGACAGCCAGUAAAGGCUUCCCACCUGACCUCCUGCAUGACCUGUUUGAAGGUGUCAUUCCAGUGGAGUUGGCGCAUUGCUUAAAAGUGUCUGACUAAAGAAGCAGAACUGAAACAUCAGCAGAUCUCCCCAGCCUUCCGCCAAUGUAAAGAAACUACAACCUCAGAUGGAGCCAACAGAGAGAUUGAAGCUAAGGGUCAUCCUUGAUCCUGAUAAUGCUGAAAGACUAAUUUUACCAUCUUGCCCAAGCAGUGUACAAGCCCUCAUAGAUGAGAUCAGAACUAGGCUAAAGUUGACUUUUGACUUUCGGCUUCAGUUUCACGACCCAGAUUUUGAUAAUGCAUUGUGUAAUUUGGUUGAAAUAGAACACCUGCCAAGCACAGCAUCUGUCAAAGUUGUCAGAUUAGUUGAGCUGGACCAGAUUUCAACCAGCACUGAUGACACAAUCAUUCUGACUGAUAGUACUGAUAGCACAGAUACACCAGAGCGUAUUAGUCGGUGGCCAGAGGUUUUUAUUGUUCCAAUAUUUUCUUAUGAGAUGGAACAUGUGCUAAGGGAAGGUAAUGCAGCAUAUGAAAAAGAUGGGACAGUAAUUAGACUCCCUAGAGAUCAAAAACACAACAUACUCGAGACAAUGGGGGAAGAAAUCUUUAGACUGAAGGCAUAUCCUAGUAGCACACAAAUUGGCAAGGCUGCAGAAGCUUUAGUUAGAAAUCAUCCCUGUUUAAAGGAGAGAAACUCUGACACCGGGUGGGAAGGAUGGAAGAAUAGUCUGAGACAUAAAAUAGGAAACCAAAGAAAGAAGUUUGCUAAAGCUGGCAUCAAAGAUGUAGCUGUAAAUUCUGGGAAGCGCAGCAGAACAAACCCAGAAGGAGCUGCACCAAGGGCCAAUAUUAAAAGACCUAGGAGAGGUGAGGUCAACUUCCUUCCCAGUUAUCCUUCUGGAGAAACAAGGGAGUCUCUGGAGACCAGGAGGGUUGAGAUGGUUGAGGA